rnacentral:rRNA from 1 species
CCUACGGGAGGCAGCAGUUUCGAAUCAUUCACAAUGGGCGAAAGCCUGAUGGUGCGACGCCGCGUGAGGGAUGAAGGUCUUCGGAUUGUAAACCUCUGUCACCGGGGAAGAAACGCUUCAAGUUAAUAGCUUGAAGCCUGACUUAACCCCGGAGAGGAAGCAGUGGCUAACUCUGUGCCAGCAGCCGCGGUAAUACAGAGACUGCAAGCGUUAUUCGGAUUCACUGGGCGUAAAGGGUGCGCAGGCGGCCAAGUGUGUGAGGCGUGAAAGCCCGAGGCUCAACCUCGGAAUUGCACCUCAAACUACAUGGCUAGAGCAUUGGAGAGGGUAGCAGAAUUCAUGGUGUAGCAGUGAAAUGCGUAGAUAUCAUGAGGAAUACCAGAGGCGAAGGCGGCUACCUGGACAAUUGCUGACGCUCAGCACGAAGACGUGGGAGACGAAGGAGUAGACUACCGUACGUAGUACACGACCCGUAACCGGUACGCAUACUAGUCGUU